AGGACAUUUAUUCCACAUCCUGACAAGAUGUUGGCGACCCUCUGCACUCUCAUCACUGCUCUAACAUGUGUGAGUGGUGUGACGGUGGUGACACAGAAACCUCCUGUUGUGACGGUGGUGAAAGGAGAGACAGUCACCAUGGACUGUAACUUAGGCAGUGUUACUAAUGGUAGUGCUCGCUGGUAUAAACAGAGUCCAGGAGGAGUUCCUCAGUUUAUACUCAGAUUUCAUCGCAGCUGGAACUCCCCAACCUAUGGUUCUGGGUUUUCAUCACCAAAAUUCACAUCUAAUCAUCAAUCUCAAACAGAUUAUCGAUUGAUCAUCAACAAUGUGCAGGAGGGAGACUCUGCAGUUUACUACUGUCAAACAUGGGAUAGCUCUGUUAAAGAUAAAGGACAUUUAUUCCACAUCCUGACAAGAUGUUGGCGACCCUCUGCACUCUCAUCACUGCUCUAACAUGUGUGAGUGGUGUGACGGUGGUGACACAGAAACCUCCUGCUGUGACGGUGGAGAAAGGAGAGACAGUCACCAUGGACUGUAACUUAGGCAGUGUUACUGGCAGUAGUUGUUACUGGUAUAAACAGAGUCCAGGAGGAGUUC